rnacentral:rRNA from 1 species
ACGAACGCUGGCGGCGUGCUUAACACGUGCAAGUCGCACGGAAAGGCCCUGCUUUUGUGGGGUGCUCGAGUGGCGAACGGGUGAGUAACACGUGAGUAACCUGCCCUUGACUUUGGGAUAACUUCAGGAAACUGGGGCUAAUACCGGAUAGGAGCUCCUGCUGCAUGGUGGGGGUUGGAAAGUUUCGGCGGUUGGGGAUGGACUCGCGGCUUAUCAGCUUGUUGGUGGGGUAGUGGCUUACCAAGGCUUUGACGGGUAGCCGGCCUGAGAGGGUGACCGGCCACAUUGGGACUGAGAUACGGCCCAGACUCCUACGGGAGGCAGCAGUGGGGAAUAUUGCACAAUGGGCGGAAGCCUGAUGCAGCAACGCCGCGUGCGGGAUGACGGCCUUCGGGUUGUAAACCGCUUUCGCCUGUGACGAAGCGUGAGUGACGGUAAUGGGUAAAGAAGCACCGGCUAACUACGUG